rnacentral:tRNA from 1 species
GCCCAGAUGGCGGAAUUGGCAGACGCGCCACCUUGAGGUGGUGGUCCCGGAAACGGGGUGGAGGUUCGAGUCCUCUUCUGGGCA